rnacentral:rRNA from 1 species
UGUAAGCGUAUACCAAAGUUGUUGCAGUUAAAACGCUCGUAGUCGGAAUUGGCAGUUCCGGAUGUGUGCACGUCGUGUGCGCACUUCGCGGGGAUUGCUUUUGUGGUCUUGCGUAGGAUGAGGCACUUUUAUUAGUGAACGUCCUCACGCAACCACUUUUUACUGUGAGAAAAUCAGAGUGCUCAAAGCAGGCAUUUGCCGUGAAUGUAUUAGCAUGGAAUAAUAGAAUAGGACUUGGUUCUAUUUUGUUGGUUUGUUGGGACUGAGUAAUGAUUAAGAGGGACAGUUGGGGGCAUUUGUAUUUCGGUGCUAGAGGUGAAAUUCUUAGAUUACCGAAAGACAAACUGCUGCGAAAGCGUCUGCCAAGGAUGUUUUCAUUGA